rnacentral:lncRNA from 1 species
UUUUUCCUUUCCUUUUUCCAGCCUCGGGGGUGUUUUAUUCGUUACCGGGCCCGCAACCCCUGGAGACCCGUUAAUCAUGGCGGGUCCAUGUGCUAACCGGUUUUUAUUUUAUUUUGAAUUUCCUUUUAUCUCCUCCGCUGACUUUGUCCGUUUCCCUUCCCCAUUUCUAGCAGCGAGAUCUCGGAGGCAGAGAGGGGAGAGCCAUGGCGAUUUUGGCUGGUUAGCUUUGUUAGGCGUCCGGUCCUCCCCCACCCCCCCUGUUGCUUCUCCUUCAAGCGCGUUGAGGCAGAGGAGAAGUUGACGCAUGGUGAUUCGGCGGCGGUGUCUUAUCUGCUUCCAUUGAUUUCGUGAUGCUCCUCCUUUUACUGUGGUGUUCUCCGAGCCUUGCGCCUCCCUUCUUCCCACAACGAGGUUUGCUUGCCAGUAUCCUUUCCCCAUGUCUUCAUUUCGCUGCAAUUUCUGUAGGAUCCUGCUAGAUCUGGCUUAAAGGUGUGCUUGUUCCCGUGUGUAGUGGUGGAUCCUAGCUCUUUUAGGUUGUUUGUGGUGGUUCCUAGAUGUCUGAUUUUUGUUGCAGAUGGAGCAACAUCUAGUAGAUGUAGAUGCAGCAACACCUGAUUCAAUAUAGUUGUAGGGUUUGGUUCCCUUAUGCCUAUUUUUUAUUUAUGCUCCCGAAUGUUUCUGUAGUUGUUCAUGUGCCCCUAUAUGUGUACAACCCCUAGAUGUGUGGAUGUAAAUGUUGAUCUAGCUCGUAGAUGUUUCGACUGUAUGUGUGUACGAUGCCAGUUGUUUUUGUCAGUGAGUUGGGCUGUAACUUUGGGCGAAAUCGGAGUGAUUGGGACUGAAUUUUACCAGUUAAGCGUCAGUGAUUCAGGACUGUAGUUUCAGGUUUUAUCAGUCCAUCUUACUCUGUAAUUUUCGAGUGCUUUUGUGUCUGUCUUUGCAACUUCAGUGAUGUGUAAGUUUCAGUGAUCUACUCUGUAAUAUUUGAGUGCUUUUGUCUCUGGCUUUGUAACUUCAGUAAUGUGUAAGUUUGAGUGAUCUACUCUAAAUUUUCCACUCGUUUUCCAGCACCAAUUACACUCAGUAUCAGUGUAACUACAGUCUGAAUUGUAUUGUGAAACAGAAUGUCCUUUUCAUUUUCAGCUAUGUAAAUGUUUGAUUGCUCUAUUUGAAAUCCCUGUUUUCUUAGUGGAUUUAUAGUGUGUUUUCUGAGUGUUCUACACUGUAAUUCUUAGUGGAUUUACAGAGUAAUUUCGUAGCGGAUUUACACUGUAAUUCCUUAGCGAAUUUACACUGUAAUUUUAGGUGGAAUUUUUUUACUAGAUUUACAUUGUAAUUUUCAGUGAAUUUACACUGUAUUUUUAGUGGAUUUAUACUGUAAUUUGCAAUGGAUCUACACUGUAAUUCUUAGUGGAUUUACUCUGUAGUUUUCAGUUGAUCUUUCAUUGUAAUCCUAUAAGAAUUACACUGUAUCUCUUGAUUUUUACAGUGUAAUUCUUAGUGGAGUUACACUGUAAUCAUUAGUGUUUUUGUAGUGACUAUUAGUUAUUCUUGGAUUACCUUGUAUUUACACUGUAGCUCUUGAUUUUACGGUGUAAUUUUCAGUGUAUUUACACUGUAAUUCUUAGUGUAUUUUUGGCUAGGGUCUGUUAGCGGGUUUUUACCCUUGUAAUCUGCAUUUGACUAGGGACUAUUAUGUGGAUUAUUUUUGUAUUAUCUUUAGUGGAUCUUAUAGUGUACUCCCUCUGUAAACUAAUAUAAGAGCGUUUAGAUUACUAUUUUAAUGAUCUAAACGCUCUUAUAUUAGUUUACGGAGGGAGUAAUUCUUAUUGGAUUUACAGUGUAACUCUCAGUGGGCUUACACUGUAAUUUUUCAGUUGAUUCUCCCCUUAGUGAAUUUGACUAGGACUGUUAGUUGGUUUUUACCCUUGUACUCUGCAGUUGAGUAGGGUCUAUUAUGUGGAUUUUUAGGUCUGAACAUUUUUCAGGUAGCCAAUCUCUAUCUUGUUUGUAAUUUACUUUCAUGCAUUUGGUUGUUUCUUUAUUUUAUUUUUUUACCGUGAUGUCAUUUUGGUUUUGCUGUGUAGGUUGCAAGUCUCUUGCUCUUGACUCUACAAAGAAAGCAUCAAAUGAUUCGUCAGUUGGUAAAUCUGCUGGUAAUAUUUAGUCAAACGAGGGUACAAAGGAUGGUCCAAAUUUGGUUUCUUGUGUGUGCCAUGUAGUAUCAGUGCUUAACUUUUUUCUUUAGUUUCAGUGCGAUCUUCAUAGUAAUUACAUUUAAAAGAUCAUAGUAAUUCUAAGUUCAAGUGACAGUAAUUUGCCCUUUUAUAAAGUUCCAAAGUUUCAAAUAUUCAAUCAUAGUGUCAUUUUGGUUUCUGAGCAGGAACAUAUUGGUUUCUCUAUAUAAUACACUGUAUUUUACACUGUAGUUCCAGUGGUCUAGCACUAGAAUUACAGUUUGCUUACACUGUAGUUCCAGUGGUCUAGAGAUGUAAUUCAAACUGUAAUUACAAAGGAUUUUUCACCCUGGUCCACUACUGUAAUUUCUAUUGCUGUCCGCUGAAAUUUUAGUGGUCUAGUAUUGUAAUUACAGUUUGUCUGUCACUGUAAAUUCCUUAUCUGCCAGUGUAAUUUAGUUUCACAUGUUAUUUUUCUGUUCCUCUGUAACCAUAGUGUAAAAACACUUGUUAGAUUUUGCUUUUGUGUAGGAUCUACUCAUCUGUAUAUGUUCUUAUUGCUUUUUCUAGUGAUCUAUUGAUUUUGAGUUUAUAACAAGAGUGCUCUGUGGAUUCUGAUCUACUCUUUCGCUUUGGUAGCAACCUGUUGCUGCUCAAGGUAGAACAAUAUUUUUUGCAUUAGCUAAUGAAAGUUUUUGCAGGAUUUAUUUCCCUGCUGUUUUAUAUUUAAAUUUCACAAUGAUAGUACCUUGUACAUCAUUUGCGCCUGAAGUAGUUGAGUAAAAGAGUAUGCCCUGCUCUGUUAUUUUGUUAAGAAUCAAGUUAGAAAAGCAUGGUUGAAUAUGUUUGUUCAUUUUUUUAGUUAAAAAAAAGCAAUACAGAAACAAUACAAAAAGAGUAGAGCUUUUGUGUUUCAUGAUCUACUCUUUCAUGAUUUGUUACUGAUUUUUUUACUCUCUAUCUUUUUAAUUUCAGUUGUACUUCCCUAUUGGUCUCGAUGGUUGCUGGUUUUCGUUUGUCGUGUGUAUCGAAGAUAGAGCUUUUAUGUUUCUUGACUCAGCGUUUGGAGAGAACUCAACGUAUCAUAGAGAUAUCUAUGAUGAGCUGGUGAUUUUUCUUGUAAGCUUUUAUGUAUAUUUCUGUUAGAUUUUGUAGUUGUGCCACUUUCAUGUACUACAAAUAUAGUUUUUAAUGCUCCCUCUCUGUUCUAGUGCAUUUUUUCCAUGUAUUUUUAGUUUAUUUCAGUUGUAUUCCCCUAUUAUCUUAGUGGAUUUACAGCGUAACUCUCAUUGGAUUUAUAUUGUAAUUAUUUUUAGAGCAUUUUUACAGUGUAACUCAUUGGAUUUGCACUGAAAUUAUCUUUAAUGCAUUUUAUAGUGUAACUGCCAUUGGAUUACACUGUAAUUAUCCUUAGUGCAUCUACAGUGCAACUCUCAUUGGACUUGCACUGUAAUUUUCUUUAGUGCAUUUUAUACUGUAGCUCUUAUUGGAUUAGUGCAUUUUACACUGUAACUUUCAUUGAAUUUAUACUGUAAUUAUCUUUAGUGCAUUUUACAGUGAAACUCAAAUUGGAUUUACACUGUAACUAUCUUAGUGAAUUUUUACAGUGUAACUCUCAUUGGAUUUAUACUGUAAUUUAUCUUAGUGGAUUUUACAGGGUAAUUCUCAUUGGAUUUACACCGUAAUUCUUACUUGUUGUACUAUGUAAAGCUUAGUGCCAUUGUACUGUAUCCACCACUUUGUGUCUAGUGCAUUUAGUGUUAGUUAUUUCAGUGUAACAUGCACUUUAAUUGUACUGAUAGCUCCUCCUUAUCGUCUACAACGCACUUAAUUUUGUUUUCUACAGUAAAUUAGUUUGGUAUGCUUUCCUAAUUUUUAGUUUGAAAACAGAUUCAUAAUAUCACUCCUAUGAUGCACAAAUGAAUUAGUAUUGAAGAGUUUGAUGUCUUGUAUACAGUUGUUCCUAAGCAAGAGAAUUGGUAUUAUGUUUUUUUGCCUUACAUGAUUUUGAUUAAUUUUAUAUAGAUUGUUUUGUAGGCUUCUUUUCUUAUUUUUUGUGUUCUUUGUAACUUUUCAGGCAUGAUUGUGGUGUCUUCACUCUGAAGUAUAUGGAGAUCUUCACACCAAGAACUUAGAUGGCAAAUCUUUUCUCCAAUGUAUUCGAAAUCUUAGGAUCAAAUAUGUGAAUGACAUGUUUUUCAGCCCCUUGGACAGCUGCGACAAAUCUUUUGUCACUGCUUUCUUUGGCAAUGUAUGUUCUUAUUUUCCUUGUCCUCUAUUUCAUUUUCUUUUCUCCUUAUUAGCUUUUUUUUCUUUGCCUAUUCUGGUCUCUUUGAUUUUUUUGUGUAGGGAGGCAAUGCCAAGUGAGGUUCAGCAUGUGCACAGUCCUAGCUCAAUUGGUGGAUGAGUUCCCCUUUUGAGUAGCAUAUAACAUAGAACCACUAGUGCAAAUCAUUUGGAUUAUUGGUGGAUUUACAAGGUCUUUUUAGUGGAUUUAAAGUGGCAUCUUUAAUGCAUCUUGCACUGUAAUUCUUAGUAGUUAAUCUUAGCAGUUUUUUCAGUGCAAACCAUUUGGAUUGUUGGUAGAUUUACAGUGCCAUUUUAGUGGAUUUUACAGUGUAACUUUAAUGCAUCUUACACUGUAAUUCUUAGUGGGCAUGAUAGAAAGUAUUGUCGAUUUUAGUGGAUUUUACAGCAAAUUUCUUGGUGGUAAUAUUAUUGUAAUUAUACUUCUUUGUCAAUGUAAUUUUUAGGUGACAUCAUCUUGGUCCUUUCCUCAUCCCUUUGUUUCUUUAGCUUAGUGUACAUGGAAAAGCUUUGGCUGUAUCGCUGUAUCGUUGUGGUUCUUUG